rnacentral:rRNA from 1 species
AUGCCGCAGCUGAGCCUGAGCACCAACGUGCCGGUGGACGCCGUCGCCGCCGCCGACAUCCUCCGGGACUGCUCCAGGGCGCUCGCCAGGAUCAUCGGCAAGCCAGAAUCCUACGUGACGGUGUCGAUCGACGGGUCGGUGCCGACGUCGUUCGCGGGGAGCGAGGAGCCCGCGGCGUACGGGGAGAUCAUGUCUAUCGGGGGCCUCGGCCCCAGCGUCAACGGCAAGCUCAGCGCCGCCCUCGCCGACAUCCUCGAGGCCAAGCUCUCCGUCAGCGCCAGCAGGUUCUACGUCAAGUUCGACGAUGUCCAGGGGUACAACGUGGGCUUCAACGGAACCACGUUCUAA